rnacentral:ncRNA from 1 species
UUGAUGGAGAGUUUGAUCCUGGCUCAGGACGAACGCUGGCGGCGUGCUUAACACAUGCAAGUCGAGCGAGGAGCUUGCUCCUAGCGGCGAACGGGUGAGUAACACGUGGGCAACCUGCCCCAAGCUCUGGAAUAACUCCGGGAAACCGGGGCUAAUGCCGGAUAUGACAUCGCUGGGCAUCUGGUGGUGUGGAAAGAUUUAUUGGCUUGGGAUGGGCCCGCGGCCUAUCAGCUUGUUGGUGGGGUGAUGGCCUACCAAGGCGACGACGGGUAGCCGGCCUGAGAGGGCGAUC